rnacentral:tRNA from 1 species
UGGGGUAUAGCUUAGUUGGUAGAGUGCUUGUUUUGCAUGCACAAGGCCCUGAGUUCAAUCCUCAGUACUCCCC